GGCCGGUAUAAAUGUCUAUUCUGCACAAGGUACAGACAAGUCUGGUGUGAUCCAUGAAUGGUUCAUUUUAAUAAACGUGAGCUUGUCCACGUUGGCCGUGGACAGGCGGCUGCGCUGCUCUGUGAUAACCUCGUGCCAAUCGCACGUCCCCUUGACAGCGACAACACAUUCGGAUGUCUGCUCUAUCGACUUUCGAUGCUAUUUUCUGCGCCUACCAUGGUGACCACGGGUAACUGGGAAUCAGAGUUCGAUUCCAGAGAGGGAGCCUGAUAAACGGCUACCAUAUGCAAGGAAUGCAGCAGGCACGCAAACUACCCACUCCCGACGCGGGUUGGUAGUGACGAUAAAUAACUAACAAUACACAACUCUUUCGAGGCCCUGUAAUUGGAAUGAGUACACAUAUGCGGCGGUGAGCGGGAAGGCC